AUACGUAGGGUGCAAGCGUUAAUCGGAAUUACUGGGCGUAAAGCGUGCGCAGGCGGUUAUGUUAAGACAGAUGUGAAAUCCCCGGGCUCAACCUGGGAACUGCAUUUGUGACUGCAUGGCUAGAGUACGGUAGAGGGGGAUGGAAUUCCGCGUGUAGCAGUGAAAUGCGUAGAUAUGCGGAGGAACACCGAUGGCGAAGGCAAUCCCCUGGACCUGUACUGACGCUCAUGCACGAAAGCGUGGGGAGC
rnacentral:rRNA from 1 species